GUGCCAGCAGCCGCGGUAAUACGGAGGGUGCAAGCGUUAUCCGGAUUCACUGGGUUUAAAGGGUGCGUAGGUGGGUUGGUAAGUCAGUGGUGAAAUCUCCGUGCUUAACAUGGAAACUGCCAUUGAUACUACUGAUCUUGAAUUUUCUGGAGGUAAGCGGAAUAUGUCAUGUAGCGGUGAAAUGCUUAGAUAUGACAUAGAACACCAAUUGCGAAGGCAGCUUACUACAGGGACAUUGACACUGAGGCACGAAAGCGUGGGGAUCAAACAGGAUUAGAUACCCUGGUAGUCC
rnacentral:rRNA from 1 species